AGGUCUGCACUGAGCCUCUUGCCCGGACAACAAAUCCUGAGCUCGGGAGGCCUGAAGAGAAGAGAUUUCAGGUGUGCCCUGUGAAGACAGCCCAGCUGUGACCUUCCAGAGCUCAAAGGAACGUGGCCUUCAGGUGCAGCUCUUGGGACUGAACCUCACCCAGCGGUUCCGUGGCAGAGGAGGAAGGGAACUGUGCCCUAAGGGAGGAGUUGGUGGGUGCCAGSUCCGCGACCUGAGGACAGCAGGAGGAUCCAGACGAACAUUGGCUCCUCUUUGGACGUGGGGCAGCCACGGAGCUCGUAGGGGCAGGUUCUAACAACCCCGUUCCCCAACCUGCAGCUUGACGCAUGACUCUGCUUGGACUCUCACCGAGUGUGAUGGAUACCACGUGAGAACCUCACCUGCCUCUGAAGAACCUGCCUCUUCCCUGAGCACUGCGACCAGCCGCAACCGAGAGUCAUGGGGAUGAU